rnacentral:rRNA from 1 species
UACGUAGGGGGCAAGCGUUGUCCGGAAUCAUUGGGCGUAAAGAGCGUGUAGGCGGCCCGAUAAGUCCGCCGUGAAAGUCCAGGGCUCAACCCUGGGAUGCCGGUGGAAACUGUCGGGCUAGAGUCCGGAAGAGGCGAGUGGAAUUCCUGGUGUAGCGGUGAAAUGCGUAGAGAUCAUGAGGAAGACCAGUGGCGAAGGCGGGUCUCUGGACAGUUCCUGACACUGAGGCACGAAGGCCAGGGGAGCAAACGGG